GAUUUACAUACAUCUCAAGGAGACAGAGAUAUAGCAUUUACAAUGUCAACUUUUCUAAAGGAAAUGCUGAAGUGUGGGAGAGGGUCUGGUUUUCCUGUCAUGCACCAGAUAAGACUCAAUUUCUUUAGUUUUAGGUUUGUAUUCACCCUUACAGGACACACUCAUACAUAUAUACACACACACACCGCCAUACAUACAUUAUAGGCACACACGCUCUUAUACACAUAUACACAUGUGUCUGCAUACACACAUAACAUUCUCAUAAACACUCACACACAUGCAUACAUGGACACAGACAUGUGUGGUGGUGCUCAUGGCCUUGUCCACAUCCCGCCAAUGGAACCGGGUUAUAUACUUAGUUCUCCAUCUUGCCUUUUUCACUUGACAUUGCACCACAGAGAUUGUCUCUUCCUGGUAGAGGAAUUAACGAUAAUUAAUGGUAAUGCAGACCCCUAACUUUUAGGUGAGCCAAUAUUCCCCUAGGCGCUUCAUCUACAUGCAUGCUUUUAACCCCCAUACCCUAAGGGUUGCUUACUACUAUACCCCCAUUUUACAGAUGGGGCAACAGAGGCUCAGAGAGGCCCCGAGGGCCACACCUGGUGCUGUUUCGUGGUCUUUAAGCAGUGACGUUCUCCACCACAUGCAUGCACAAGAGCGAGUGGGGAGGGGACCAGGGUCAGCUGAGUGGGUCGUGUUUGGUUCUGCCACGAGCUCCUGGUGUAGCCUUGCAAGAGUCCUUCCCAGCUUGGGCCUGGGGUCCCCCUUCUGGCGGGUGAGAGGUUGGGCCUGUGGUGCGUCCAGGCCAGCUCUGAGUUUUGCUGUUCAAGGGCCUCCAAACUGUGGGUCCAUUAGCUCCUGAGAACCAGGCGCUGCCCUGCCGAGGCUCUUCAGUGACUUGGGCAUGGAAGGCCCUUUCCUGCAAUAAUGGAGAACACCUGGCAUAGGAGUGGAGGGUGCCUGCUUGUUGAGGAUCUUUCGUCCCUGUCCUCACCCAUGUCCCUGCCCCUAUUCCCUUCCUAGUCAUUAAUUCCAGCUCAAGCUUUGCGUUCUUGUAAACUGAUGUAAACACCAGUCAUAGCUGAGCCUUGGUAAGGUGUGGCUAGCUUUCCUCUCCGGGGUUAAUGAUGCUCUGAUUUUUAUUUAUUUUUUUCCUUUGGCUUAGCUUUCUAUGUUCUGGAGAGACUGAAGAGGGGAGUUCCCAGAGCAGUGCGUGGACCAUGGUAGAUACUCAGCAAGAGUGUGUCGCAAGAGUGAAGAGUUCUUGGUGCUGUGGGGGGAGCUGGAGAAAUCAGAGCAACAGAAGACUGUUCUAAUCUCUUCAUAGCUCUGAACAACAGUCUGGUCCAAACGUCUGGUCUUCACAGCUAUCCUGAGACCGAUGCUGUUCUUUCUCACCCUUCUUUUCGCAGACUGAGAAACUGAGGCAGAGAGGUUUCAGGUCACAUAAGGUGGGUGGUGUGGGAUGUGGCCCUGGAGAGCUGUGGGUAGAGAGAGGCCCCAGGGUCAUUCCCCAGGUUACGAAAUUUUCUCCUCCAAGGGGGGAUAUGCACUUCAUUUCAUUCGAUUCUCCAACACCCUGCAAGUGGAGUAGAAAUGAUUAGUCCCACUGUCUAGGUAGGGACCAGAAAGGUAGGAGAGGGGAUGAGGGGUGCCCAAGGCCACACAGCAGGGUGUGGGGGCUGGGAUGGGAACUGGUUGGCCCCGCUUUCUCUGCACCCAGCUACCUGCACCUGGGGUUCUGGGCCAUGAGAGAGGCCAGCAAGGUGGUGCUUGCAUGGUCUGCUUUUGAGACCGAAAACUUUUUUUGGUAGGGCUUGGUGGCGAUUAGAGGGUAUGUGUGCUGGUGUUUUAACUAAUCUCUAUGCCCAAUGUGGGGCUAGAACUCACAACCCUGAGAUCAAGAGUCACAUGCUCUACCCACUGAGCCAGCCAGUGACUUUUUUUCCGGCUGAAAGUUGUGCACAUAAUGAUUGGAAACCACUUGGGCAGAGUGAGUGCAAAAUGUGUAGACUCCAACCCCUCAUAAGAUGUCCUUUGCUAUAUAUGCAUUCAUCUCUCCUCUAGAACAUGAACUUGUGGAGGGCAGGGCCCUGCAUCACGGAUCUCUGCCCAGCUCAGCCCUGGCUCAAGAAAAGUGAGAAAGACCAGGUUCCCCACUGCGGGUCCCGCCCCUCAGAUGCUACAGACACAGAGUUGGCUUGCUCCCCUUAGAAUAUGGUUCUGGAGACCCACAGCAUUGCAAAGGCAGAGAAACCGGCGAUCAUUGCCACUGCUGGGCCUUAGACCAUGCCUCUGACUCAAAGGAAGUGUCCUUGGGGGUGAAGAGCCUCAGGUUUGGUGUGGCACCAGAAGCUUCGGUUGCUCUUUCUGACCUCAUUUUUCGUGUGCUGCACUGGCCCUUGGAGAUGACCCACUGCUGGAUCUUUCAAUGCUGAGGGAGGUGCCUGGCCUCCCACGUGGGCUGCGACCAUGCUCAUACAUCAGGUGCCCCUCUCGGUGCUGACUGGGUGCCCUCCUCGUGAGCCCUUCAGUGCGGCUCAGACCAGCCUUUGCAUGAAUCCACUCUGCUUCCUAACUUGGCUGCUAACUGCCAUGUCUCUCCAUAAGCCCAGAUGCCACUGAGUGGCUUGAGACCACAUGCAGCACAGCCGGGCACGCCCCUGCAUCUGUCUUCCAGGCUCCCGGCCUCCACAGAGAACCUAAGUGCCGUGCAAAGCCCACUUUCCGAACAACCGCCAGUCUGGAAUUGGGUGCCACAGCUCACAGCAAUAGAGCAGGUCAGAUCCCUACCCCUUCAAGUAACAGCUGGAGGGAACAACUGUGAAAUCCCCAUCCCUGGGUGAUCUGUUAGAGAAAUUAGGUCACAUCUGUGAUAAGGUGCGAUAUGGCCCAUAAAAAAGAAAGUGAAACCCUCUCUUUUAGCCAUAUUGCUGAGUAAAAGCAGAAUGGAAGAGAACCAUGGUAUAUAUGUGAAAACAAAAGACUAGGCAUCUAUUUUCCUUUAUAAUGGAUGUAUUUCCUUAGCUCAAUAUUUCUCGUCAAGGGAAUCUGAUGGAAGGCACUGGAAGUUGGCAAACCUUUUCUGUGAAGGACCAGAUGGUAAAUAUUCUGGGCUUCACGGGCUGGAGGUCUCCAUCGCAGCUCCUUGGGUCUGCUGCUGCAGCCGGAAAGCCGUAGACAAAACGUACAUGGGCAGUGGCUGCAGCCCCAGUGGCACACAGACUUGAAAAGACUUGGCAGAGAAAACCCUUCCAAAAGUCCCUCCAGAGAUGUCCCUCUAGAUCCCUUUGGCCGAGACUAUUCCACAUGGCCUGU